GGCUCGUUCGUCUACCGGUCCAGGACGCUGCCCCUUCAAGGCGGAGGACGGGGUUCGAGUCCCCGACGAGCUG
rnacentral:tRNA from 1 species